rnacentral:tRNA from 1 species
AGUAAGGUCAGCUAAAUAAGCUUUUGGGCCCAUACCCCAA